rnacentral:misc_RNA from 1 species
CACCCCUCAAGCGUAGCUUGGUCUUGGGCCUUUCGUCAUUGGUGACGGGUCUGAAAAUCAGUGGUGGAUGCCCUUAUGGUUCCUGAUGCAGUAGUUUGCUUUCUCAUCUGGAAGGCCUGAGGGUUGUCUUGCCAAAACAUGAGCAGCGAUGCUCAAAUAUCCUACA